UACGAAGGGUGCAAGCGUUACUCGGAAUUACUGGGCGUAAAGCGUGCGUAGGCGGUUUGUUAAGUCUGUCGUGAAAGCCCCGGGCUCAACCUGGGAAUGGCGAUGGAUACUGGCGAGCUAGAGUACGGUAGAGGAGAGUGGAAUUCCCGGUGUAGCAGUGAAAUGCGUAGAGAUCGGGAGGAACAUCAGUUGCGAAGGCGGCUCUCUGGACCAGUACUGACGCUGAGGCACGAAAGCGUGGGGAGCGAACAGG
rnacentral:rRNA from 1 species